rnacentral:tRNA from 1 species
UCUAUUAUGGCAGAUUAAUGCAAUGGUCUUAAGAUCCAUUAAUAAAGAAUUUUUUCUUUUUUUAGAA